rnacentral:rRNA from 1 species
ACGACCACCCAGGGCCGGAAAGUUGGUCAAACCCGGUCAUUUAGAGGAAGUAAAAGUCGUAACAAGGUCUCCGUAGGUGAACCUGCGGAGGGAUCAUUACAAGUGACCCCGGUCUAACCACCGGGAUGUUCAUAACCCUUUGUUGUCCGACUCUGUUGCCUCCGGGGCGACCCUGCCUUCGGGCGGGGGCUCCGGGUGGACACUUCAAACUCUUGCGUAACUUUGCAGUCUGAGUAAACUUAAUUAAUAAAUUAAAACUUUUAACAACGGAUCUCUUGGUUCUGGCAUCGAUGAAGAACGCAGCGAAAUGCGAUAAGUAAUGUGAAUUGCAGAAUUCAGUGAAUCAUCGAAUCUUUGAACGCACAUUGCGCCCCCUGGUAUUCCGGGGGGCAUGCCUGUUCGAGCGUCAUUUCACCACUCAAGCCUCGCUUGGUAUUGGGCAACGCGGUCCGCCGCGUGCCUCAAAUCGACCGGCUGGGUCUUCUGUCCCCUAAGCGUUGUGGAAACUAUUCGCUAAAGGGUGUUCGGGAGGCUACGCCGUAAAACAACCCCAUUUCUAAGGUUGACCUCGGAUCAGGUAGGGAUACCCGCUGAACUUAAGCAUAUCAAUAAGCGGAGGAAAAGAAACCAACAGGGAUUGCUCUAGUAACGGCGAGUGAAGCAGCAAUAGCUCAAAUUUGAAAUCUGGCGUCUUCGACGUCCGAGUUGUAAUUUGUAGAGGAUGCUUCUGAGUAACCACCGACCUAAG